rnacentral:rRNA from 1 species
AUGGCGGAGGAACCAUCCGCCAAACAUCACCAUGACAACACUGCGAACAAGAGCAGCAACCUCGCCGACGUUCACGUCCCCGGCGAGAAGCACGAGUACACCAAAACGCUCAAAGGGGUUGAGCUCCACGGCAAGGAGACGCUGGAGAUCGUCUGCACUAGCGAACCAGAUAAGGCCGACCAGAUGAUGAAAAAUGUGUGUCUCCCCCCUUGCAGGCCCAAGCGCCUCAAAGACUUCAUUGAGGAGGAGAAAUUGUACACAUUUGUUGGUUUCGGCAUUGGAGGUGAGAAGCAGAAGCUGGGGAAGUCUGGUUUGGAAAUCAACCCCAACAAC